UCUUCCGCAAUGGACGAAAGUCUGACGGAGCAACGCCGCGUGAGCGAUGAAGGCCUUCGGGUCGUAAAGCUCUGUUGUUAGGGAAGAACAAGUGCUAGUUGAAUAAGCUGGCACCUUGACGGUACCUAACCAGAAAGCCACGGCUAACUACGUGCCAGCAGCCGCGGUAAUACGUAGGUGGCAAGCGUUGUCCGGAAUUAUUGGGCGUAAAGCGCGCGCAGGCGGUUUCUUAAGUCUGAUGUGAAAGCCCCCGGCUCAACCGGGGAGGGUCAUUGGAAACUGGGAAACUUGAGUGCAGAAGAGGAAAGUGGAAUUCCAAGUGUAGCGGUGAAAUGCGUAGAGAUUUGGAGGAACACCAGUGGCGAAGGCGACUUUCUGGUCUGUAACUGACGCUGAGGCGCGAAAGCGUGGGGAGCAAACAGGAUUAGAUACCCUGGUAGUCCACGCCGUAAACGAUGAGUGCUAAGUGUUAGAGGGUUUCCGCCCUUUAGUGCUGAAGUUAACGCAUUAAGCACUCCGCCUGGGGAGUACGGUCGCAAGACUGAAACUCAAAGGAAUUGACGGGGGCCCGCACAAGUGGUGGAGCAUGUGGUUUAAUUCGAAGCAACGCGAAGAACCUUACCAGGUCUUGACAUCCUCUGACAACCCUAGAGAUAGGGCUUUCCCUUCGGGGACAGAG
rnacentral:rRNA from 2 species